rnacentral:lncRNA from 1 species
CGAGUUCACCUGCAGGUUAUAUGAACUCAGUUCACCUGCAGGUUAUGUGCCAGUCGGUUAUUUGGUUAUCUAGUUUUAAUUUCUAGUUACACAAAUUUAUAUUAAGACAAUUUUUAUGGUUAUGUAAAUUGGAUAAUUGGUUACGCGGAUCCAUAUUCAGGUUACACAGAUUUAUGUUAAAGUUAUACAAGUUUAUAUUCAGAUUACACAGGUUACACAGGUCUUUGUUUAGGUUACAUACGUUUAUACUCAGGUUAUGUGCCAGGCCAAUGUGCCGGUUGCUCUUCGUGCCA